AUGCUCACUGAAGCAGCACAUAUACUAAAAUUGGAACAACACAGAGAAGAUCAGCAUGGCUCCUGCACAAGGAUGACACGCAAACUCAUGAAGAGGCACAUUUAAAAAUUUAU
rnacentral:snRNA from 1 species